ensembl:lncRNA
GGAAAUCUAUCCAUGGAACCAUUCAUGACCAAAUUAAUGUCACCACUUAUAAUUAAUUUUGCAUUAGAGUUGCAUCUCAUGGUAAUUUUCAAUUUCACCUAAAAACAAAGUGUUUGCACCUUUUGAACAAUACCCAUAAAUAUUAACAAUAAUGAAUUUACAGUCAUUCAUAUCAAUCAGUAAUAUCAACCAAUGACCUUUAGAGUCCCCUUUGCUCCACACACAUUUUCCAUGGAAAGUAUGUGCCAAAAUUGCCACUCCACCUGAGUGACUGGAACCGUGAGCUAACCACAUCUCACCUCCCCAUUGGUUUUUCCAAAAAUUAAAAUCCUCAGGGCAUGAAUGAGUCUCUUGAAUGAAAAUUAAGUAACUUUUGAAUUAUUUGCAAAAAAGAAAAAAGCUUUUCUUUUAACCAAGUUCCUCAGACCUCUGGCAUUAAUAGAACAUAACUUUAACACCAUCAAAAUGGCAAAGUCGAUCAAAUAAUAAAAAAGAAGUACUAUUAAAGAGAAAAGUUAAAAAAAGCUCUGCUUUUCUCCUUCUAAAUUCAAAAAUACAGGCAAACAGCCAUAUAGCAAUUGUAUACUAAAUAUCAAAUAAAAAAAGUGCUUAUCUUCACAACAUUCAUCCUUGAUUUUGCUUUAAGCGAACAAGAAUCAGGUAGUAUCCAUUUUUUCUAACAACUUCUUUGCCGUCAAGGUAUGCUUUAGCUCCGACAUAAGCCUUUUUUCCUUCGUUGCGUGCUUUUUGUACGUAAGGCCAAAGCAUUGCACGGGACGCUUUUUCUUCUUUUGUCAGGUCUUCUCCAAAGUGUAGUUUGUGUUCUAUAUAGCUCUCGCUUGUUCAGUAAGGGCUAUUUGACGGAGUUCCGGGGAGAGGUACACGACCCACCCAAAUCAAGUUCUUUUGAAGAACCUCUUGUCAUGUUAGAUACCGCAGGUUACGAGUGGCCCGAAAGUUUCUGAGGACCUUUCUUUUGCUCAUUUUAGCGUUGUAACGUUAGCAGUGUCUGCUCUACUGAUUCAAAUUCGUUUUCUCUUUUAAAAUUUUUAGGUUGAAUUUCACUUAAAGAAUUUAAGAGUUUCUACUGAUAAGCACUUAAACAAACUAGAUAAUCCAUCUAUUUACGCAUUUUGAAGGAGUAACGGCCAAAG